CAAUAGCGUAUAUUAAAGUUGUUGCAGUUAAAAAGCUCGUAGUUGGAUUUCUGGUGGGAGCGAUCGGUCUGGCGCUUAGCGCGAGUACUUGCAUCGUCUCCGGCCAUCCUUGGGGAAAGUCUGUCUGGCAUUAAGUUGUCGGGCAGGGGAUCCUCAUCGUUUACUGUGAAAAAAUUAGAGUGUUCAAAGCAGGCUUAUGCCGUUGAAUAUAUUAGCAUGGAAUAAUAAGAUAGGACUUUGGUACUAUUUUGUUGGUUUGCGCACCAAAGUAAUGAUUAAUAGGGACAGUUGGGGGUAUUCGUAUUCCGUUGUCAGAGGUGAAAUUCUUGGAUUUACGGAAGACGAACUACUGCGAAAGCAUUUACCAAGGAUGUUUUCAUUAA
rnacentral:rRNA from 1 species